rnacentral:rRNA from 1 species
GGACGGGUGAGUAACKCGUGGCAAAUCUACCCUGUAGACUGGGAUAACACCUCGAAAGGGGUGCUAAUACCGGAUAAUGUCGAGAAGCGGCAUCGCUUUUCGAAGAAAGGAGGGAAUCCGCUAUAGGAGGAGUCCGCGUCCCAUUAGCUAGUUGGUGAGGGUAACGGCCCACCAAGGCGACGAUGGGUAGCCGGCCUGAGAGGGUGAACGGCCACACUGGAACUGAGACACGGUCCAGACUCCUACGGGAGGCAGCAGUGGGGAAUAUUGUGCAAUGGGGGAAACCCUGACACAGCGACGCCGCGUGAGUGAAGAAGGCCUUCGGGUCGUAAAGCUCAAUAGUAUGGGAAGAAAGAAAUGACGGUACCAU